AUUUAAUGUUAUGUGUUAGAAAAUCUAUAAGAAAUAAAAAUAAGAUGAAAAUAAUUACAAACCCAUUGACCAUUUUGUUUAGUCUGUAUUUUCAUACAUACAUGUUUUGUGAGAUGAAGUUACUAGUUCUACAGUCAACUCCAAAUAUUGAAGUUUUCUAGUUCUGCAGCCUACUCCAAAUAUUUACACUUAAGUUCACACAUGUACAUGUUUGAAAGGCUACCAAAAUCAAAUAUAGAAAAUGGUUAACAUAGUUUGAACUUAAAUACAAGACAUUAAAAUGUAAAAACUGGGUCAAAAGAUACAGGCUUAAUGUAAUCUCUAAUUGGAGUGAAGUUUUGUACUAAACAUAAUAUAUGUUCAUUCCUAGAGGCAGCAGUACAAAUUGACUGAAUGGCAGAUUUGAGUGCUUGAUAACAUCCCAUUUAUGGCACAGAGUGCUACACUAAAGGUUAAUACAUUGUCAUUCAGGAAAUGGUCUUUCUCCUUAUGAAGAACAAAAAAAUCAAAACCUGUAUCCUAAAUCUUUUAAUAUUAAGAGAGGAAAAAACUAGGCCAUUUAAUCAAUUGGAAACAACUCAAUUUUUUUUUUUUUUUAAUUACUGAAUUAGUUGGAAUAGAAAAAUGGAUGAUACUGCUAUGGUCAAAGUGUGUAACUGGCAAGCAGCAGGAAUGUCUGUUUUUUUUUUUUUUUUUUUUUUUUUUGUUG